rnacentral:lncRNA from 1 species
ACUUGUCCGGUUGACGCAUAUAACUAUAGUAGCAGUGGUCACUUGUAUAUCUUCAGUUUUUUCGUUACAUUGUCUUGCUACUAUAGUCUUGUUACAUGUAUACAUUCAGUUGUUCAUUACAAUAGCGGUAGUUGUACUUUCUUUCAUAUAUAUGUCUCUUUCAUUCAUUAUUAUUGCUACUGUAUUUUCUACUGACCCGUACUGUUGUUUAGCUCUUCCUGAUCCGAUGAGUACUCCUCGCCUUCUUCGGCUUGCGGUACCCACUGGGAGGGGAGACAUGUUUACAUGUUCUCACCUCCCCCACCAUUUUUCAGGUAUCGCAGGCGAUGUGUAUUGGGACGAGACGUGAGGUACGUUCGUAGUGGUCGAUAGAGCUUCCGACCCAGGUUGUUCGGUUUAGUUUCUUACCCUUCUUAUUUCGGUCAAUGUAUAGUUUAGUUGGUUUAUGUGGUUCAGUAUUUAUUUACAUUUGAAAAUGUGGAUUUCUGUUUAAACAUUGAAUGUAAAACUGUGAUGUGAAUGGUGAACGUAUGAAUGUAUAGUUAUCUUUAUAUUCAUCUAGUGGUGGUUGUGUCCUGGUUGUAUUCUUGUACUUGUGCGACGCCGUGCAAAUACAGGGGAGACUCUGUCCGUGUGAACAGUGGAUCUCCAGUAUUUGUGGCGGAUCUGGCAUACUCUGGGGUCAAGUUUUCAAAAAAAAAAAUUUCAGACGCUUUUCCGCUAUCUUUUAAACUGAAAGGGACCCCGAGGCGUGACACGCUUCGUAAAGCCGCAUCACUCAUAAUCGUA